rnacentral:lncRNA from 1 species
GAUUCUGGGCAGCCAACCACUCCCCAAAAGGAAUAUGAGAAGGAAAUUUGAAACCAAGCAUUUUGAAACAUCUUUUCAAUAUUCAAAAUGAAGAACUUUUCAUGCGAAGAAACGACCCUCCUUUGUAGCAAUGUACGGUGAUAUUCUUUGACAAAUUUGCUCUCAAGGCAUAAGCAACGACAUUGAAGAAAAGAGUAAAAAGCAAUAGAAAAUGAUGACGAAUAUUGCAAGCAAAAGAUUAUGGUUAAGGACACUACAUAUGCUACACUUGGAAAGCAUUCUGUAUUCAAUGAUGUAUUUUGAAAACCUGAAAGCAUGCUGACAGAGUCUUAGCUUGUCAACUGUUCUACAACCAGUGACAAGAUGACCGAUUGCAAAGUCUCUCAAUUUACGCAAGAUGGUCAGGUCAAUAGGGCGUAAUCCAGGACAGCUUUGUGCAAUCUCUUUCAGAGAAAAGUCGGUCAAUCAAUGAAAAAGAGAAGGUAAUCGUGCAAACUUGUUUAAAAGCCAUAAAGUCAGAUCUCUACAUUUCAGCCGUGAAUCAUUAGUUGGUGAAAGACCCACAGUUAAAAAUGCAAACACAACAUACUACAAGCAGUAUACAAGCAGCUAAAGCACUGAUCACCCAGCAAUCAGCAUGCAUAUAACCCCAACGAUGGCCAUAGCAGAAUGAGCUCAAAUAAAAAUCUUUUAACAUGCAAUAUAAGAAUUGAAAGAUAACAAGUUUAAGGUCUCAUCAUCAAGGUGUUGAAUAAGUUGCAGCUCCAGUCACAUACCAUA